AACGCGAAGAACCUUACCAGGACUUGACAUGGAGGAGACGCGUACAGAGAUGUACGUUCCCGCGAGGGCUCCUUGCACAGGUGCUGCAUGGCUGUCGUCAGCUCGUGUCGUGAGAUGUUGGGUUAAGUCCCGCAACGAGCGCAACCCUUAUCCCUAGUUGCCAUCGGGUCAAGCCGGGCACUCUAGUGAAACCGCUCAGGAUAACUGGGAGGAAGGUGGGGAUGACGUCAAGUCCUCAUGGCCUUUAUGUCCAGGGCUACACACGUGCUACAAUGGUCGGUACAAACCGUCGCAAACCCGUGAGGGGGAGCUAAUCGGAAAAAGCCGGCCUCAGUUCGGAUUGGAGUCUGCAACCCGACUCCAUGAAGCUGGAAUCGCUAGUAAUCGCGGAUCAGAACGCCGCGGUGAAUACGUUCCCGGGCCUUGUACACACCGGCUAC
rnacentral:rRNA from 1 species